CCGCAACCUCCUAAUAACUCCGCUAUGGUGCAGGAGAGAGAGCGCCGUGGACGAGCCAGCUGCGAAAAGGCUCAAAUUUGACGAGAGUCAGAAUGCGAAUCGCCAAAUCGAGGUAGCUAAGGCUUCUGCUUCAGCUAGUCCUUCUGAUUCUAACGAUUGGGACUUGAUUCUGCUAGGAGUCAUAUAGAUUUGGCGGUGAUGUAAUUAGGGAUUUAGGGCGAGGGAAUAAAUUAAGUGGCCAAUGUUUACUGAUAUUGGUGGGCUGUUUUAUAUUUUGAGUUAUUUGAAAGACGAGGUGAUUGCGCCGAUGCACCAGUUGAAGCUACUGCGUCACUUUGGAGGCAAACCUACAACCGCAAUUCUGUUACAUGGGCCACCGGGCUGUGGGAAAACCAUGCUGGCUCGAUCCAUUGGCAGUGAGGCCCGGGUGCCGCUCUAUGAAACAUCUGCUGUUGUGUUGAAGUCUAGAGUGUCAGGUAUCCUAGAGUUGUUCUCCAGAGAAUACAAGAAAGCACCAUAUAUUGUGUUCAUUGAUGCAUUGACUUCAGAAUCAGAAAGCUUGUGGCAGUGCAACCUGUGACUUACGGUUCUGAUUCUGAAAGAUCUAAUAGUGGACGAGUCAGCUGCGAAAGGCUCAAAUUUGACGAGAGUCAGAAUGCGAAUCGCCAAAUCGAGGUAGCUAAGGCUCCUGCUUCAGCUAGUCAUUCUGAUUCUAACGAUUGGGACUUGAUUCUGCUAGGAGUCAUAUAGAUUAAGAAUAGUGUGUUAAGUGGAUGGUGAAUAAAGUAAGAGAAAUAGUUACUUUUUUGCCAAAAAUAGAAAUGACUCGAUUAACUUGAAACUUCCAAAAAUAGUAAAAUGACUCUAUUAACAUAGAACGAAGGGAGUAUAUAGCUGUAUUAUUACAUGUUCUGAUUUCUAAACACAAUCGGUGCACUUAUGUGCACACACAUUUUCACACUUAAAAAACACACCAUUAGGAAAUUAAGUUCCUAACUCACAACACUAUAAACACAUAGAGCCACAAACCAUCGGUUAGUGAUGUAUCUAUUCCGCUCACUUCAGCAGGAUCCUAAUUUGAAGCAUUUUCACCACAAUCCAAUUUUAUUGGGAUGUAAGGUAACUUUUUCCCUUCUAACACCUUCAUUAGUGGAUAUCAAUCUGUUGUGAUAUGUCAAUGGCCCAAGAUUUUAGGAUCCAAUGGACUAAGAUUUUGUUAUAGUCCUCCUAUGUGAGUUAGGUUGCUUGUCUAAGCUGCUUUUUUUUUUAAGUUUGGUUUGGUAAAUUGGUUAAUAAUGAGAGAAUUAGCACUUAAUCUUGAAUUGGAGGAGAUAACUUUGAUUGUAAAUGUGAAAUGUGAGAAAUGAUAUUUUUUAUGAUUCGUUCCAAUGGAAAAAAUUCAAGGAAGUUUCAGUAGGUGAUAAUAAUAUCACUUUAGUCAUCAUCUACAUUCUUUAUUUGGGAUUUGCCUUCAUCACUAGGAAAACAAAAUACAUAAAGCAUUAAAAAAUACAAAUAAUACGAAAAUAAUAACACACAACACACACUUUAUAAUCAGACACUCUCUCUUGUAAAAUUCUUCUUCACCUUUCUCCAGCCUCCAAGGAGAAACCUGAUCAGUGGGUGGUAAUAAUAUCACUUUAGUCAUUAUCUACAUUCUGGUCAGUGGGUAGAUAAUGACUAAAGUGAUAUUAUUACCACCUACUGACCAGGUUUCUCCCUGGAGGCUGGAGAAAGGUGAAGAAGAAUUUUACAAGAGAGUGCAUGAUUAUAAAGUGUGUGUUGUGUGUUAUUAUUUUCAUAUUAUUUGUAUUUUUUAAUGCUUUAUGUAUUUUGUUUUCCUAGUGAUGAAGGCAAAUCCCAAAUAAAGAAUGUAGAUGAUGACUAAAGUGAUAUUAUUAUCACCUGAAACUUCCUUGAAUUUUUUCCAUUGGAACGAAUCAUAAAAAAUAUCAUUUCUCACAUUUCACAUUUACAAUCAAAGUUAUCUCCCCCAAUUCAAGAUUAAGUGCUUAUUCUCUCUCAUUAUUAACCAAUUUACCAAACCAAACUUAAAAAAAAAAGUAGCUUAGACAAGCAACCUAACUCACAUAGGAGGACUAUAACAAAAUCUUAGUCCAUUGGAUCCUAAAAUCUUGGGCCAGUGACAUAUCACAACAGAUUGAUAUCCACUAAUGAAGGUGUUAGAAGGGAAAAAGUUACCUUACAUCCCAAUAAAAUUGGAUUGUGGUGAAAAUUCUUCAAAUUAGGAUCCUGCUGAAGUGAGUGGAAUAGAUACAUCACUAACCGAUGGUUUGUGCCUCUAUGUGUUUAUAGUGUUGAGAGUUAGGAACUCAAUUUCCUGAUGGUGUGUUUUUUAAGUGUGAAAAUGUGUGUGCACAUAAGUAAGUGCACCGAUUGUGUUUAGAAAUCAGAACAUGUAAUAAUACAGCUAUAUACUCCCUCCGUUCUACGUUAAUAGAGUCAUUUUACUAUUUUAGGAAGUUUCAAGUUAAUCGAGUUGACAUCCGUAUCAAAAUUAACUUCACAGUGCCAUGUUCGGAAGGGUGAUGGCAAUAAUAUAUCGAUUGUUUGGAUUCCUCUUCCUCCCUAGAAUGGGAGCUACGUAAAGUCUAUGUGCCAAUUCUUGAAUGCAGUAAUGUAUGUAUACGGACAAAAAUCAUUGGACGAAUUAUUCAUCUUGCCUCAUUAUCUUUCUAUCUA